rnacentral:rRNA from 1 species
AACGAACGCUGGCGGCAUGCCUAACACAUGCAAGUCGAACGAGAUCCUUCGGGGUCUAGUGGCGCACGGGUGCGUAACGCGUGGGAAUCUGCCCUUAGGUUCGGAAUAACAGUUAGAAAUGACUGCUAAUACCGGAUGAUGACGUUAAGUCCAAAGAUUCAUCGCCUGAGGAUGAGCCCGCGUAGGAUUAGCUAGUUGGUGUGGUAAAGGCGCACCAAGGCGACGAUCCUUAGCUGGUCUGAGAGGAUGAUCAGCCACACUGGGACUGAGACACGGCCCAGACUCCUACGGGAGGCAGCAGUGGGGAAUAUUGGACAAUGGGCGCAAGCCUGAUCCAGCAAUGCCGCGUGAGUGAUGAAGGCCUUAGGGUUGUAAAGCUCUUUUACCCGGGAUGAUAAUGACAGUACCGGGAGAAUAAGCCCCGGCUAACUCCGUG